ACUUUUAGUGAGUCAGUGGACCUCGAGUUAGGAUUGUUGUAGUUGUGAGUUCACGGUAAAACAAAGUAUAUUAUCUCAGAGCAGUCUCUCAUCUGGACACGUUUAGACUCAUCCUGUCAUUUUAAGAGAUUCAAAGAUACUUCACUAGAUCUCUAAAUACUGUGGGAGUAAAGGUGACUGACGAUGGCUCUGCACCCUUACAGUAGGUCCUGCGUUUGGACAUCCAACACCUUAUACUGAGACCACGUAGAUGCUUUGAUGUAGUUUUGAGUCGUAUCCAGGAGACGAGCAGGAAUGUUGAGGGUGAGUCAUCGAGAGGCACAGGACGACUCUGUCAAGGUGGCCUGUCCUCUGAGGAAACCAGUCUGCCCCGCCAAAGACCAACGUGUCGGAAACAUAGGAGACGGCGGCGACCUGCAGGAAGCCCCGAAGCAGACGGACAGACGGAGCUGACAGCUGACCGGGCGGCUGUCAGCUAAAUAAGCUUCAACAGGACGGAGGGAGGAGUUGGAGCAGGGCACAGGAUAAUACUGACAGGUAGAAAACAGAAAGAGGGAGAGGAAGGAGGAGAAUAAAAGCAGGCAGAGACAGAAAGAUAAAGAAAGAAGAUAGAGAACAAGAAAGAGAGACACACAGCAGCGGUGUCAGGGUUUCUAUUGAAAUACUUGUUUUUGUUCAAUUUUGUUAUAAUGUGCUGGAAAAGUAACUGAAACAUCAAAGCUGAAAAUGUCAUUAAAUAUGUUAUUAUAUUAAAAACCAGUGCACUCCAACACGCCAUGAAAGUGCAGCUAUUUCUGCAUAUCCUCAUUGCAUUUUCAAUCUAAUUAGACCUUAUUUGACUAAAUUUGUUCACAUUUACCUUUUGCAAAUCUAUUUUUCCUGUUAUUGUCACUUUGGACAAAAACUAAACGCUUCUACUUCUGUCCCUUUCUGACCGCAGUUAGUUCUCCGAGAAGAGUCCUGAACUUAAACUGUAUCUAAACCACAUAAAACUAGAAAAGGUUUGUCCCAAAAAUGUCCCAAGGAAUAAUUUUCUGAAGGGCUGCACCAACAUAAGAAUAUCACAUUCUUCAUGUUUAAAGGCCCUUUUUUACACGUAUAAAUCCUUUUUUAUUUCCAAUGUGUGAACAGGUUGUAACCGUUACUAAAAAACGAGACGAUUUUCUGUGUUUCCUCUAUCACCCUUUAGAUUACUUUUAAUAUGAAGGACUCGGGUCGGUGUCCCAGCGGAUGUGAUUUCAUGUACGCUCGCAUGUGUCUACUCUCUUCCACAUUUUUUUCAGUGAAGUUUUGUACAAAACAAGAAAAUCAACCCCCCAAUGUCCAGCAGACCAUCGCUGCGUAUAUUUUGCAGAUAAGAUUUGUUGCCUUUCCUGGUAUUUUCAAUCUUCCGUUGCACCUUAAUACUGCCACAUAACAGCCUCUACGCUUCUUCACAUGUGGCAGAAACACAAACACUUGUAUGUUCACGAGUUUGGUUGUAAUGUCCUAUUAGGGGAAGUUUGGCAGGAAGAAGGUGAUUCUCACUUGCUGCUGUUGAGUAAACACUUUAGAUCAAUCACUUCCUUUGUGGAGCAGGCUUCUCAGCACGAUCUGACUCAGCGGCUGUGUGCAGUUUAGACGCUGCUGUGUUGCCUUCAACUCACUAAAAGGUGUUUUUCCUGCAACUACUUCAGCUUUGACAAACACCUCUCCUGCUUUGUCUGAUCAGCUGCAGAGGAGCUCACGUCUCUCAGACACAUUUCUAGUUUGUGGUCCAAUAAACCUGCAGCUGGAUAAUCAUGUAAAAUAUUCAUCGCUUAAUCAACAUGCUGGUUUUUAUUGGCGGCUGUAUGUUUAUAAAGAAGUUUACAUUUCUGAGCCUGUUACUGUUGACUUUUAUGACUAAAGACCUUGGUUUUAGAUGGGAGUCUACGAGCAGGGGAUUGAUUACGUCCCCUGCAGGAGUGCAUGGAUCUAUUAUUAAACAACACUCUGCUGACAAGCUCAAGAGACGUCUCUCUCAUUUGUCCUCUGCCUUCGUAACUCGAGCCUCGCCGUUAAAAGAUCUGCCGGGGCGGUGUCGGAUGCCCCCCAGGCCUCCAGCUCCGUCCUGAUCAAUGCCUGCUCACAUUUCACACGAGAACACCUGUCAGCUAGUGUGGACGAGAGGGGGAGACGGGAUGAGCUGUUCUAAACCCCGAAGACAAACCAUGAGCGCUUGUUCUGCUGCAACACUUUCAUUUUUUAUGUUUCACACAGUCCACAGCUGCAAUUAAAGCAUGCGGGGUUACGGCUGAUAUAUCUCUCUGCUCUUCUUCACGUAUCUCUUUUGCAGAAUUUAGAUCAAGAUUCCAAAAACUACCAACUUCUCUGUUCACAAGUGAAAAUGCUCCUGCUGCUAAACUCCUGUGUGGUUCUGCUGGAGACUGCUGCUGUUCCAUAAAAACGGCUCUACACUAAAAGAUAUGGAUAUAUUGGGUGCAAUCAUUUAAACAGAUCAGCUUCAAUUACUGCAAAGAAAAAGUCACAAGUGAGCUGGUGAGAUGAAGAGCAGCAGGCAACAGGCUAUAUUCAUCAUAUACAGUAACACCUCUUACUGUGCUAUCAGGUAUGGUAGCCAGGAUGCACGGAUCCAGAAAACAAAUGAAAUUAUAGCUGCUGCGCAGCUGUGGGUCGGGGCCGGAAGAAGAAGAAGAAGGAGGAAGAAUAGGAGGAAGAUCCAUCAUUAUUAAUCCGUUAAGGCAUGUAACAUCUGCCUUGAUCGGGGCUCAUACUCACAACCUCAGCAUAGCUGCCCAGCCCCUAAUAAAUCUGCUGCUUUGGCCAUUAUAAGGGCUGCUAUCUACAGAAGGGACCUUGGACUCACGUAGAUCCAAGCUGCUGCUUUUCUGAGCAAGACAAUGUGUAACUGGAUCAAUGGAAAACCUCCUUUAGGAAGUGAGCUUCAUCAAAAGGGGACACACCUUUGGAUUGGAGGCUUCCUGCUUCUAUACAAUAUAACUGAGAGAAAUGGACUUUCUUUCUCCCGGUUAUAGCUCUGGCCUAUAAUGAUGUCUACAAUGAAAAGGUUGUGUUGAGGUUUUGACUACAUCUCCAGAGCUCUGGGGCACAGCGACACUAAGAAAUAACACCGUGGUAUAUCCUCAAGUGUCAUUUCAGUUGUGCCACUGUACAUAGAAAACAAUAAGCGCUGGUGUGUUGAUGCGCUGCAGGCGCAUGUUGCCCUUUAGAGAGUCAGGCUGACAGGAAAUGUUUUCACUUUAUUGAGAACAUCAGCUGAUAAUGUCAAGAUGCUUUCCAAAGCUGGAGUCAGGACGUGGUUAGCCUAGCUUAGCACAGAACAGAAACAGGAACCAGCAGUAUAAAGGUGUGUCUUUCUUUCCCACUUCAGUUCUCACAUUCCUCCCACCAAACCCUUUCUUUCUGCCUCCUCUCUCAUUACAGAAACCACAGGGGGGACAAUGAGUCUCCACCUUGAGUCUCACUCCCUGACACCUUCCACUUUAUACUCAUCAUCCAUUCCCAGUCGACUGGAUGGGAUUAUACCCCAGCCUUUCAUAACACGUUUUUCCAAUUAACUAAUCUGCAUACGUAAUGAAGUGCACCUGAAUUUGUUUCUUGGACGCACUAGACUAACAUAUUCUGUAGUUUAACCACAAUGCAUUAAAUCAGACACUUUUAUUUGGAACAUUUCACAGAUUUAUGUGUAUUUAUAACCUGAAAAGUAGCAGGUCUUGACUGGAUAAAAGCCUCAAUAUUAAGAGAAUGAAGGCCUUGUUUGCUAAUUGAGGAUUUUGAAGCCAGAGGUUCUCAACGUAGGAAUGUUUUAUUGAGUAACUAUUAUAUAAGACAGGCUUUUUUUUUUUCCUUUGAGGAGAAGAUUUAGUAAUUCAAGCCUAUGUGCCUCACUGGACCUUGUUCCUGCAGCCUGAUGACAAUUUACUGCUCUCCGGGGAAAAUGUCGCAGGACAUACACGUCCUGGUGAGGUUUACAACUGGUGUAGUGCAGCAGCAAACUGAGCAGCAACGUUUUGUAUCAGGAAACAAGUUCAAGAUACGCCUGGUUAUAAAAAUCCAGGAGAAAAUCAUCGUAAGACUAAAAUCCAUCUACUUUUCAGUGUGAUAAAAAGCAAAAUACUGGCGUGACUGAGCGAAACUGGCAGAUCAGCUGCUGAUGUUUGAGGAGUAAUCUAAUUUCCAAACUGCCCAAACCAAACAUCCAAACAAGAAAUACACUUGGACACACAGAAAUUUAGGUCUGAUCUCUUACCAGAAAGAAAUUGAGGGAGAUUGGGUCAUAUUUUAUUAUGACCUUUAUCCAAAUUCAAAUAAAUGCCAUAAAGGCUGUUAAGUCAUUAUAGCGCUAAAUGCCCUUGACCUAGUAGUGGGGCACAACACUAACAGCUACAUAAAACAAAUUAAGCACCUCAUCAGUCAAAAGCAGUGCUGCAAAUGUCAGAACAUAGAGAAAAAUGUCCAUCACAAUUUCCAGUAACCCAAGUUGAUGUCUCCAGAUUGCUUUCUUUCUCUGAUCACCAGUCCAGAACUUAAAGAUAUUCAAUUUACUGUCACUUAAGACGAAACAAAUCUGCAAAUCCACAGCAGGAACUAUUGAAUAUUUGAUGUUUUUUCUGAUUGAAAAUGAUUGAAUAUUGAUAGACUAAUUGUUUGAUGUUUUAUCAUCGUUUCAGCUUUAAUGUGAUUCACAAAUUCAUUGUAUGCAUUUUAACCUCAAAUAGAUGUUAAAUUGAGAUUUUGCUCCAUUGCUGAAACAUGAGAAAGUCACUGUCACCUGCAUUUUCAACAAAUAAUAAACAGUAUGUCAUGCAGGUUUCUCUCUGUAGAGAGGUAAAUUCCAUAUAAUGGCAAACCAUAUAUCGGCCUUGCAUGUGCUUAUAAAACUUGAGGACAAAUCUUUCCACCAAGGUCAGCAGAACAAAUUUCAACAUCAUCUUUGAGGAUGAAAGUGUUUCUGACUUCAGAAGAAAAUUGCUGGACUUCAGUGAAGGACAUCUGAGUGUGCACGUUUCAUUUUCCAGUAAAUAUAUUUAUAAAAAAAAAAA